rnacentral:rRNA from 1 species
GUUAGGAAUAUUGGACAAUGGGCGAAAGCCUGAUCCAGCAAUGCCGCGUGCAGGAAGAAGGCCUUCGGGUUGUAAACUGCUUUUGUACGGAACGAAACGGUCCUGGUUAAUACCUGGGGCUAAUGACGGUACCGUAAGAAUAAGCACCGGCUAACUACGUGCCAGCAGCCGCGGUAAUACGUAGGGUGCAAGCGUUAAUCGGAAUUACUGGGCGUAAAGCGUGCGCAGGCGGUUUUGUAAGACAGGCGUGAAAUCCCCGGGCUCAACCUGGGAAUUGCGCUUGUGACUGCAAGGCUGGAGUGCGGCAGAGGGGGAUGGAAUUCCGCGUGUAGCAGUGAAAUGCGUAGAUAUGCGGAGGAACACCGAUGGCGAAGGCAAUCCCCUGGGCCUGCACUGACGCUCAUGCACGAAAGCGUGGGGAGCAAACAGGAUUAGAUACCCUGGUAGUCC